GACGAACGCUGGCGGCGUGCUUAACACAUGCAAGUCGAACGGAAAGGCCCUGCUUGCAGGGUACUCGAGUGGCGAACGGGUGAGUAACACGUGGGUGAUCUGCCGUGCACGUCGGGUUAAGCCUGGAAAACUGGGUCUAAUCCCGGUAAGUAGCCAGUUUGAGUGUGAUGGUUGGAAAGUUUUUUCGGUGUAGGAUGAGCUCGCGGCCUAUCAGCUUGUUGGUGGGGUAAUGGCCUACCAAGGCGGCGACGGGUAGCCGGCCUGAGAGGGUGGACGGCCACACUGGGACUGAGAGACGGCCCAGACGCGGACGGGAGGAAGCAGUGGGGAAUCUUGCACCAUGGGUGCAAGGCUGAUGCAGAGACGCCGCGUGUGGGAGGACGGCCUUCGGGUUGAAAACGCCUUGCGCGAGGGACGAAGCUUUUUGUGACGGUACCUAGAGAAGAAGCACCGGCUAACUACGUG
rnacentral:rRNA from 1 species